UGGGGAAUCUUCCGCAAUGGACGAAAGUCUGACGGAGCAACGCCGCGUGAGUGAUGACGGCCUUCGGGUUGUAAAGCUCUGUUAAUCGGGACGAAUGGUUCUUGUGCAAAUAGUGCGAGGAUUUGACGGUACCGGAAUAGAAAGCCACGGCUAACUACGUGCCAGCAGCCGUGGUAAUACGUAGGUGGCAAGCGUUGUCCGGAAUUAUUGGGCGUAAAGCGCGCGCAGGCGGAUUGGUCAGUCUGUCUUAAAAGUUCGGGGCUUAACCCCGUGAUGGGAUGGAAACUGCCAAUCUAGAGUAUCGGAGAGGAAAGUGGAAUUCCUAGUGUAGCGGUGAAAUGCGUAGAUAUUAGGAAGAACACCAGUGGCGAAGGCGACUUUCUGGACGAAAACUGACGCUGAGGCGCGAAAGCCAGGGGAGCGAACGGG
rnacentral:rRNA from 1 species